AAGACCUUGCACUUUUAGAGCGGCCGAUGCCUGAUUAGCUUGUUGGUAAGGUAAAGGCUUACCAAGGCUUCGAUCAGUAGCUGGUCUGAGAGGACGACCAGCCACACUGGGACUGAGACACGGCCCAGACUCCUACGGGAGGCAGCAGUGGGGAAUUUUGGACAAUGGGGGCAACCCUGAUCCAGCCAUGCCGCGUGAGUGAAGAAGGCCUUCGGGUUGUAAAGCUCUUUCAGCCGGAACGAAACGGUUACGGUUAAUACCCGUGACUAAUGACGGUACCGGAAGAAGAAGCACCGGCUAACUACGUGCCAGCAGCCGCGGUAAUACGUAGGGUGCGAGCGUUAAUCGGAAUUACUGGGCGUAAAGCGUGCGCAGGUGGUUUUGUAAGUCAGAUGUGAAAGCCCCGGGCUCAACCUGGGAACU
rnacentral:rRNA from 1 species